rnacentral:rRNA from 1 species
UACGGGGGGGGCAAGCGUUGUUCGGAUUUAUUGGGCGUAAAGAGCUCGUAGGCGGUUGGGUAAGUCGGGUGUGAAAACUCCAGGCUCAACUUGGAGAUGCCACCCGAUACUGCUCUGACUUGAGUUCGGUAGGGGAGUGGGGAAUUCCUGGUGUAGCGGUGAAAUGCGCAGAUAUCAGGAGGAACACCGGUGGCGAAGGCGGCAUCCUGGACCGGCAUUGACGCUGAGGCGCGAAAGCCAGGGGAGCAAACGGG